rnacentral:snRNA from 13 species
AUUGUUUCUUGGUCUUUUGGCUAAGAUCAAGCGUAGCAUCUGUUCUCAUCAGAUUAAAAAUGCAAAUUGGAUCCUUUUGUCUCUCUGCUGAAAAUCUUACAACCGCUUCUUACUCUUAAGGAAAGCUGAAAGUCCUUGGCAUACUCAACCGGGCUCUUCAUAGUUGGCUUUUUUCUUCAGUUAUCACUAAAUCAGUCAUUAAUU